CCUACGGGGGGCUGCAGUGGGGAAUAUUGGACAAUGGGGGGAACCCUGAUCCAGCCAUGCCGCGUGUGUGAAGAAGGCCCUCGGGUUGUAAAGCACUUUCAGUGAGGAAGAACGCCUGGUGGUUAAUACCCAUCAGGAAAGACAUCACUCACAGAAGAAGCACCGGCUAACUCCGUGCCAGCAGCCGCGGUAAUACGGAGGGUGCGAGCGUUAAUCGGAAUUACUGGGCGUAAAGCGCGCGUAGGUGGCUUGAUAAGCCGGUUGUGAAAGCCCCGGGCUCAACCUGGGAACGACAUCCGGAACUGUCAAGCUAGAGUGCAGGAGAGGAAGGUAGAAUUCCCGGUGUAGCGGUGAAAUGCGUAGAGAUCGGGAGGAAUACCAGUGGCGAAGGCGGCCUUCUGGACUGACACUGACACUGAGGUGCGAAAGCGUGGGUAGCAAACAGGAUUAGAUACCCCUGUAGUC
rnacentral:rRNA from 1 species